rnacentral:lncRNA from 1 species
UAUUUUUAUAAAGGAAACUAAUUUAAACGGACGAAGAUAUCAGCAGGUAUUUGGGACAUUUUUAAGGCUUUUAAUAAUUGAAAUACAUUGUUGUUUGUUUUCUUAUUGAUUAAUUUAGUGUUUUUUUCAUUUUAAUAGUUGACUAUUCACAAUUGUAAUGGAGCGUUGAAAGACUGCUCCAACUGUUUGUUCAUCAGUCACAAAAUCAAGUCGUGUCUUUUUGUAACAACCAUUUAUUUGUGAACAAGGUGUAAUUGUUUUACAACUGAACCAACGUGUCGGUUCUGAAUACUAUAAAGUCAAAUGCGAAAUGGAAAGAUUGUUGGACUUUGGUGGUCAAAAUAUUUACCACAUGACGCACCAACUGUUUAUAACAAGAAGGGGUACAUUUGUUCUGAUAUUCAAUGGCAGCAAAGGUAUUCAUGAAGAAAUAUCAGACUACAUUGGACUUCCUAGCUGUAAACUAUCACAGGAAUGCAGCAGCUAUGUUACUAUAAGUGAGUGAGAAAAAAAGUUGUCUAUGUAAAUACAAAUAGGACAUGAAUAGUCUGACGAAAGGUGUUUCAGCUGUUUUUUUAUAAAUGGAAAGUAGAUAUAACAUUAAGACUUUUAUUCAUUUGUAAUACAUUUUAUGUUGGGUUUUUUUAAUUGACUUUGUUUUGUGUCUUAUCUUUUUUUUUUUUUAAUUUUAAUGGUAGAAUUUUUUAUCACAUUUAAAGAUUGCUCCGUUCGUCCAUCACAACAACUAGUUGUGUCUUUUUGCAACAAUCAUUUAUUUGUGAACAAGGUGCAAUUGUUUUACAGCUGAACCAACUUGUCAGUUUUGAAUACUAUAAAGCCAAAUGCGAAAUGAAAAGAUUAUGGGACUUUGGUGGUCAAAAAAUGUAUCACAUGACGCACCAACUGUUUAUUACAAGUAGGGGUACAUUUGUGCUAAUCUUCAAUGGCGGCAAAGGUAUUCAUGAUGAAAUAUCAGACUACAUAGACUUCCUAGCUGUAACGAUCAAUGAAAUACAGCAGUCAUGUUACCCAUUAGUAAAUAAGAAAACAAGUCAUCUUUUUACAGAAAAAUAAGACAUUUUAUAAGGAAGGUGUUUGAGCAGUUUACCACAAAACCUGACGAUUAUUUUAUAAAGGAAACUUAUUUCAACAGACGAAGAUAUCAGCAGUUAUUUGGGACAUUUUAAAGGCUUUUCAUCAUGGCAAUACAUUGUGGUUUGUUUUCAUAUUGAUUUAUUUUUUUUAAUUUUUUAAUUUUAAUAGUUGACUUUUCACAUUGUAAUGGAGCGUUGAAAGACUGCUCCAUCCGUUUGUUCAUCGAUUGUGGGACUUUGGUGGUCAAAAAAUGUAUCACAUGACGCGCCAACUGUUUAUGACAAGUAGGGGUACAUUUGUGCUAAUCUUCAAUGGCGGCAAAGGUAUUCAUGAAGACAUAUCAGACUACACAGACUUCCUAGCUGUAACGAUCAACGAAAUACAGCAGUCAUGUUACCCAUUAGUAAAUAAGAAAACAAGUCAUCUUUUUACAGAAAAUAAGACAUUUUAUAAGGAAGAUGUUCGAGUAGCUUCAACACAAAACCUGACGAUUAUUUUAUAAAGGAAACUUUUUCAACAGACGAAGAUAUCAGCAGUUAUUUGGGACAUUUUUACGGCUUUUCAUCAUGGCAAUACAUUGUUGUUUGUUUUCAUAUUAAUUAAUUUUUUUUUUUUUAUUUAUUUUAAUAGUUGACUUUUCACAUUGUAAUGGAGCGUUGAAAGACUGCUCCAUUCGUUUGUUCAUCAGUCACAGCAUCAAGUUGUGUUUUUUGUAACAACCAUUCAACUGUAAACAUGGUGCAAUUGUUUUACAACUGAUCCAACUUUUCCAUUCUGAAUUCAAUAAAGCCAAAUACGAAAUGGAAAGAUUGUGGGACUUUGGUGGUCAAAAUAUUUAUCACAUGACGCAUCAACUGUUUAUUACAAGUAGGGGUACAUUCGUCCUGAUCUUCAAUGGCAGCAAAGGUAUUCAUGAAGAAAUAUCAGACUACAUAGACUUCCUAGCUGUAACGAUCAACGAAAUACAGCAGUCAUGUUACCCAUUAGUAAAUAAGAAAACACGUCAUCUUUUUACAGAAAAAUAAGACAUUUUAUAAGGAAGAAGUUUGAGCAGUUUCACCACAAAAUCUGAUGAUUAUUUUAUAAAGCAAACUUAUUUAAAUAGCCGAACAUAUCAUCAGUUAUUUGGGACAUUUUUAAGGCUUUUA